GCGAACGCUGGCGGCGUGCCUAACACAUGCAAGUCGAACGUGAAAUGGAGCAAUCCAGAGUAAAGUGGCGUACGGGUGAGUAAUACGUAGGUAAUCUACCAAAGAGUCUGGAAUAACCGGCCGAAAGGCUGGCUAAUACUGGAUAGAGCGACGGGAUCCGCAAUUGGGUCUUUCGGGAAAGGGAGGCAGUAAUGCCCUUCGCUCUUUGAUGAGCCUGCGUCUGAUUAGCUAGUUGGUGGGGUAAAGGCCCACCAAGGCGAUGAUCGGUAGCUGGUCUGAGAGGAUGAUCAGCCACACUGGAACUGAAACACGGUCCAGACUCCUACGGGAGGCAGCAGUGGGGAAUCUUGCGCAAUGGGCGAAAGCCUGACGCAGCGACGCCGCGUGCGGGAAGAAGGCCUUCGGGUUGUAAACCGCUUUCAGGAGGGACGAAGCCACUCGGGUUAAUAGCCUAGAGGGUGACGGUACCUCCAGAAGAAGCCCCGGCUAACUACGUGCCAGCAGCCGCGGUAAUACGUAGGGGGCUAGCGUUGUCCGGAUUUAUUGGGCGUAAAGAGCGUGUAGGCGGCCAAGUAGGUCUGGUGUGAAAACUCGAGGCUUAACCUCGAGAUGUCAUCGGAAACCAUCUGGCUAGAGUCCGGAAGAGGAAAGUGGAAUUCCUGGUGUAGCGGUGAAAUGUGCAGAUAUCAGGAAGAACACCAAUGGCGAAAGCAGCUUUCCGGGACGGUACUGACGCUGAGACGCGAAAGCGUGGGGAGCGAACAGGAUUAGAUACCCUGGUAGUCCACGCCGUAAACGAUGGGCGCUAGGUGUGGGCGGUGUCGACUCCGUCCGUGCCGAAGCUAACGCAUUAAGCGCCCCGCCUGGGGAGUACGGCCGCAAGGCUAAAACUCAAAGGAAUUGACGGGGGCCCGCACAAGCAGCGGAGCAUGUGGUUUAAUUCGACGCAACGCGCAGAACCUUACCAGGGUUUGACAUCCUGUGCUCGCCGGUGAAAGCCGGUUUCCCCGCAAGGGGCGCAGAGACAGGUGCUGCAUGGCUGUCGUCAGCUCGUGUCGUGAGAUGUUGGGUUAAGUCCCGCAACGAGCGCAACCCUCGCCUUUAGUUGCCAUCAUUCAGUUGGGCACUCUAGAGGGACCGCCGGCGGCAAGCCGGAGGAAGGUGGGGAUGACGUCAAGUCCUCAUGGCCCUUACACCCUGGCUACACACGUGCUACAAUGGCGGUGACAGCGGGCAGCUAGCUCGCGAGAGUAAGCUAAUCCCAAAAAGCCGCCCCAGUUCAGAUUGCACUCUGCAACUCGAGUGCAUGAAGGUGGAAUCGCUAGUAAUCGCAGAACAGCAGGCUGCGGUGAAUACGUUCCCGGGCCUUGUACACACCGCCCGUCACACCAUGGAGUUGGCAUUACCCGAAGACGGUGCGCUAACCGCAAGGAGGCAGCCGGCCACGGUAGGGUCAGCGACUGGGGUG
rnacentral:rRNA from 1 species